GCAGAACACAGUGUCACGUAGCAACUGGUCUUUACGGUCGUUUGAAUCAACAGGUCAGUUUGGGGGACAAAAGGAGGGUUCAGUUUUUACUGACUUCCCAUCUGACAGUUUAAAUGUUUAUGACCGUUUGAAUCAACAGGACACGCACGCACACACACACACACGCACGCACACACACACACACACACACACAUACACACACACACGCACACACACACACACACACACACACACACACACCAUUACCUCUGCUUUACCAUGUUAUUAGACAUUGGUUUAACUCCAUUUAAGCAUUUAAACGUUAAAAGCAUUGCACUUGUACGACGUUGUAAUACUUUUUUUUUACCAGCCGAUGACGACGAAGUGAAAGACGAUGAACUUUGCUUAAACGGUCUUACAAAGUUGGAAGAUGAUUUUCGAGGUGUGUUUAAACCUUCAAAUUAUUUAAUAUUAUGUGUAUUCAUUAUUUAGUUUCAUAGAGGAUUUGCCGUAAGAUCCUAACGCGAUCGUUUUAACACAAUCGCAGUCUGCUGGCGGGUCCGUCAACGGCCGUUCCAGGCAGAGGAGAAGGCUUGAUUGCGCCAAAGACUCCAGACAUCGAAUCCUUGCUCCGAGGGGAAAUCAUCGAAAACGACGGUGAAUGUCCAACAGGCACCCGCUAUUGGUAGCACUGGACAAGUCGGAUAUCCUUGCUUGGAUCCUUUUAAAGUUGCCCGAUAAACUGCUGAGAGUUGAUCUCUCCUCUUGUCCAAAGGUUUUUCGUUCAUUUUUACUUGUAAUACUGGCACUAGGGUUGAUGUAGUAGCUCCACAACAUAACCUUAAAGCCUGUGACUGGAUCCGGUCUAUUUUUCCCAAGUCAUGUUUUUGAAGCAGAUUGGUAAAUAAUGCAUCCGUAAUCAAUAACAGAUGGAAUUAAAGUUAUAAAUAUAUACAUGUAUUGUUUUCAACGUUAACCUAUCAGCCCCCCAAUCAUUACCCCUCAAAGCCCUCAUUAUAUUUAACACCUUUUUACUUUUUCCCCUAUUUUUUUAUUUUCCGGAAGGAACACUCCUGAAGGAAUAAAUA